AUCAAUAAGCGGAGGAAGAGCAACUAACCAGGAUUCCCCCAGUAACGGCGAGCGAAGCGGGAAGAGUUCGAGCAGUGAAUCUCUGGCGCUCCGUCGCCAGCGAAUUGUGGCCGGUAGAGGCAACUGCACCCGAGGCGCCGCCGCCCAAGUUGACCUGGAAAGGCACGUCGGAGAGGGUGAUAGCCCCGUGCGGGGCGGGGGCGCCGAGGGCCGCUACUGUCUUCCGAGAGUCGGGUUGUUUGAGAUUGCAGCCCAAAGUGGGUGGUAAACUCCAUCUAAAGCCGAACACGGGCACGAGACCGAUAGCGAACAAGUACCGUGAGGGAAAGGUGAAAAGCACUUUGGAAAGAGAGUUAAAGAGACCGCGAAA
rnacentral:rRNA from 1 species